UAAAUCCUCUCCUGGGUUGUGAAGACUCACAGCUCUCCCCUCACCCAAGGCUGAGGUCUCUGGGAAGACAGAGCUGUGGUCUAGGAGAAGAUGAGACUGCUGGGUCUUCUCCUGUGCCUGGUGACAGCCCCCCAAGGUGUCCUGUCCCAGCUGCAGUUUCAGGGGUGGGCCCAGGACUGGUGAAGCCCUCGCAGACCCUCUCCCUCACCUGCACUGUCUCUGGUUACUCCAUCACAACCAGUGGUUACUGCUGGAGCUGGAUCCGCCAGCCCCCAGGGAAGGGGCUUGAGUGGAUGGAGUGCAUAAA